CAUGUGUAGCGGUGAAAUGCGUAGAUAUAUGGAGGAACACCAGUGGCGAAGGCGGCUCUCUGGUCUGUAACUGACGCUGAGGCUCGANAGCGUGGGGAGCGAACAGGAUUAGAUACCCUGGUAGUCCACGCCGUAAACGAUGAGUGCUAAGUGUUGGAGGGUUUCCGCCCUUCAGUGCUGCAGCAAACGCAUUAAGCACUCCGCCUGGGGAGUACGACCGCAAGGUUGAAACUCAAAGGAAUUGACGGGGGCCCGCACAAGCGGUGGAGCAUGUGGUUUAAUUCGAAGCAACGCGAAGAACCUUACCAGGUCUUGACAUCCUUUGACCACUCUAGAGAUAGAGCUUCCCCUUCGGGGGCAAAGUGACAGGUGGUGCAUGGUUGUCGUCAGCUCGUGUCGCGAGAUGUUGGGUUAAGUCCCGCAACGAGCGCAACCCUUAUUGUUAGUUGCCAUCAUUUAGUUGGGCACUCUAGCGAGACUGCCGGUGACAAACCGGAGGAAGGUGGGGAUGACGUCAAAUCAUCAUGCCCCUUAUGACCUGGGCUACACACGUGCUACAAUGGGAAGUACAACGAGUUGCGAAGUCGCGAGGCUAAGCUAAUCUCUUAAAGCUUCUCUCAGUUCGGAUUGUAGGCUGCAACUCGCCUACAUGAAGCCGGAAUCGCUAGUAAUCGCGGAUCAGCACGCCGCGGUGAAUACGUUCCCGGGCCUUGCACACAC
rnacentral:rRNA from 1 species